rnacentral:rRNA from 1 species
GAUGAACGCUGGCGGCGUGCCUAACACAUGCAAGUCGAACGAAGCACCUUACCUGAUUCUUCGGAUGAAAGUUUGGUGACUGAGUGGCGGACGGGUGAGUAACGCGUGGGUAACCUGCCCUGUACAGGGGGAUAACAGCUGGAAACGGCUGCUAAUACCGCAUAAGCGCACGAGGAGACAUCUCCUUGUGUGAAAAACUCCGGUGGUACAGGAUGGGCCCGCGUCUGAUUAGCUGGUUGGCAGGGUAACGGCCUACCAAGGCAACGAUCAGUAGCCGGUCUGAGAGGAUGAACGGCCACAUUGGAACUGAGACACGGUCCAAACUCCUACGGGAGGCAGCAGUGGGGAAUAUUGCACAAUGGGGGAAACCCUGAUGCAGCAACGCAGCGUGAGUGAAGAAGUAUUUCGGUAUGUAAAGCUCUAUCAGCAGGGAAGAUAAUGACGGUACCUGACUAAGAAGCUCCGGCUAAAUACGUG